GGGUUUUUUGGUGAUGGUGGACGCGGCGGAGGAGGUGGAAAUGGUGGGUAUCAUGGAGAUGGUGGGGAUGGUGGAAAAGGUGGUGGUGGUGGGUUUAAUGGAAACGGAGGUACCGGUGGAAAUGGAGGAAAUGGUGGAUUUGGCGGAGACGGUGGCGACGGCGGAGAUGGUGGAAGCGGAGGAGAUAGUGCAGUAGAGUCUGCAAGAGCUAUACAACCAUGGAAGAAGGGGGGAAAUAGACUAUAUGGUGGUGGUGGCGGCGGCGGUGGCGGUGGCAUAGGAGGCGGUGGUGGUAGAUUAUACCACCCUUGAAGCCUCUUUGGAACUUCAAUAUUCAGAAAAUAAUACAUCACUCCUUCUCUCCUCUAAUUAACCCUAAUUAAUAAUAAAUAAUCAUAUAAGAUAUGAUGGGUAUGAGGUCAUGAGGAAUUGAGGAUGUAUAUUAUAAGGUUUUUAAGUUGUGACACUAAUAAUAAUGUAAUGUUUGAUGUUAAUGUAAUGGUGCGGAAGACAUGUACCUAAUGUAAAAUGUUUAAUGCAUGGCUCCAUUACCCUUAAUUUCUAUUAUUUGCUAUUUUAUAUACGGUAAAAACUCAGUUGCAGUCGACUUAAAGUGAAGUUAUAUUUGAAAGUCGACUUAAAGUGAAGUUAUAUUUGAAAGCC
rnacentral:lncRNA from 1 species